UUGGAAAUUAAAUUAUAAGGAUUAAAUUUUAAAUUUAAGUAUAUUAGAAAGACCAAAACUGAAAAUUAACUACUUUUAUAAAAUAUAAAAAAAGCACGAUAGGUGUGUGUCAUGUAACACCCCAUAUCCGACCUGAUCGCCGAGUCUGAGCUACAAAGUGUCACAUUCAUUGCCAAAGUAACUAUGACCAAAUUAAAUACAAUUCAUAUCAUUAUACAUGCAAAUACGAGUAAUAUAAGCAAGUAAUACGAUAAAUAAUCAUUCUUGGGUCUUAUACGAGCUUAUGAAAGCUCUAAUGCUAACCCAAGAUCAAUUUAGGAUUGAAUUGUAAAGAAUUCAAAUUAUAAGGUUGAUAUUGCAACGUAAGGGAAUUCCUCGUCACAUCGUGACAUACUGUUUUGGCCUCGUCAAGACGAUGGAGUCUCUCGUCGUGCCGAGACAUACUAUUUUGGCCUCGUCGAGACGACGGAGUCCUCUUCAUGUCGUGGCAUACUAUUUUGGCCUUGUCAAGAUGACGGUGUCUUUCGUCACGCCGUGACAUUAUAAGUCAUUUCUCGUCGCAACGACAUAUAUUUGACGUCACGAUGUCACUUAUUGUUUCUGCAAUUCCUAAUUGAAUUUCAACCUGUAAAUAUUCAAAUUAACUUAUGUGCAUAAACAUACCAUACUUUUAGCCAAAUAAUGCAAUUUACCUGGAAUAAUAAUGCUUUAAUCAACUAUACACUAAUGAUAAAUUACAUAUAAGUUCAUCAACUUUAAGGCUUCAAACAUACUUCCUAUGCACAAGUACCAUUUGCAAAUACAUCUUUUAUACAAUACUAAACCACAAAAUAAACUUUAUACAAUUUUUAGUAAAUUGAGUCAUAAAUAAUUAUUAGAAGUAAUUAUGAGUUUAGUUAAGUGCUUAAUUAGAUAUUAAUUAGGUGAAUUUAGCCUAAUUUAAAGUAAUUAGGAAAAAAGGAUCAAAUUGAAUAAAUAAUGAAAGCCUAAUUAUAGAUUAAAAGAAAGUAAAAUGGGCUAAAAUGGGAAUUAAGCCAUUUAUAUGAAAUGAGUGGCAUAUAUGCAUUAAAAUCUAAGAUUUUAUUUAAGUUAUACAUAAAUAUUAUAUAUUUAAUUAUUAUAAUUAUUAACCAUUAUUAUGGUCUUAUAUUAUUAAUAUUAUUAUUACUAUUAUUAUUAUUAUUAUUAUUAUUAAAUAAAGUAAAUGGUAGACAAUUAUAUGGUAAUAAAAUAUACAUGUGUAAAAAUUAUAUUUGUACAUUUGUAAACUAAACACAUAAAUUACUUAUAAUUUAAGUAUGAAGAUAUUUUAUAAUUAAUUAUUAAUUGUAUUAAUUAAGUUAUAAGAUUUUUUUUGUGAUAAAUAAACUAAAUGAUGACAAAUGUAUGGUAUAGAUGAUAUUGUACAUUUAUAAAUAAAAUAUAUAUGUACAUUUGUAAUAUUAUUAUUUGUUGUUAAAUAGAUUUUUAUUGAAUAAAUAAGAUAAUUGACAAAUAAAUGGUAUAAAAUUUAUACAAGUGUAAUAAAAUAAAUAUGUACAAAUGUAAUUAAACAAUUGGUUUACUUAAUAUUUAAGCAUAAGAUAUUUUAUAUUGAUAUUAUAUUAAUUAUUUAGUAAUUAAAAACAAUAAAGCAAAUAAAAUAAAGUAAAAGAAAGAAAACAAAAAUAAAAGGGAAAACUAGGGAUUUGAAGCUUGAAGUUUAAUUGGUAAGCUAAAUUAAGUCCUUUUCUUAUAAAUUUGAUGUUUUUGGAAUCCUAGAGUGAAAUGCUUUUGGAUUUAAGUUAAAAAUUUGGAAGUUAAUAGAUUUUUUAGUAGGGUUUAUGUUGAAUAAAUUGUUGAAUUAGGAAUUUAAAUGACUGAAUUUCUAGUUAGAAUUGAUAAAAGGAUUAAAUUGUGAAGUAAGGUAUAAGUUUUAUGUUGUAGGGACGAAAUUGAGGAAAAUUAGAAAUUAGUGAAAUUUGCUGAAAGUUUGGUAGUUAAAUUUGAGUUUAGAUAAAAUUUGAAUAGAAAUAGAGUGUGAAUUAAAUUAGAAAAAUAGAUAAAUCUAGGGGUGAGCAUUCGAUCAAAUCGAAUCGAAUCGAAAAUUUUCGAGUUAAUCGAGUUUUCGAAUCUCAUUUUAUCAUCCUAACUUUAUUUGAAGUUUUCUCGAAUCGAGUCGAGUGAGAUGGAAUUCGAAUCGAGUCGAGUGAGAUGGAAUUCGAAUCGAAUCGAAUCAAAUCUAUUUGUUCGAGUUAAAUUUUAAAAAAUAAUUUUGGAUCCUUGUAACCAUUGUCACCCAUCGUAAUAAAAUUUGACCACCUUAAUCAAAAUUUUUAUUAACUUUCAUGUUUAUCAAUCAUAAUCGAGCAUAUGACCAAUUAUACACAAAUCAUUCAUAUAUUUUCCAAUUUUCCUCGUCCUUCUCUCCAUUUCACAUCCUUAAUAUGUAUAACACACUUAAACAACAAUAUCUAUACUUUCACUAUUUUCCUGUAUGUAAAUUCAAACUAUCUGUCUGAGUCAGAGUUACUAAUUUAUUUAUAUCUUGAGAUACCGAGCUCCAAAUUAAGAUCCGUUAAUUUUCCCCAAAACUAGACUCACAUAUCUUCUUACCAUAAAAUUUUUAGAAUUUUUUCUUAGCCAAUAAGUACAGUUUAUUCUUUAAAGUUUCCCCUAAUUUACUGCUCGACAGUUCUGACCUUUCUUCACUAAAAAUUAAUUAUUUCAUAGUACAUAAUUCGGAUAAUGUUCUCGUUUGUUUAUUUUGAAAAUAGACUCAUUUAGGAUUCUAAAAAUAUAAAUUUUAUAUCAUAAUUAUUUUUUUACAAUUUUAAAUGAUUUUACAAAGUCAGAACAGGGGAUUUCGAAAUCAUUCUAGCUCUAUCUCACUAAAAUUCAAAUAUCUCAUUCAGCUUUAAUUUCAUAUAUUAUUCAAACUCUAAUUCAAUUUCCACCAUUUUCGGUGAUUUUUCAAAGUUACACAACUGUUGCUGUCUAAACUGUUUUGUUGCUAAAUGUACUCUUUCAUAAUUUCACUUUUUCUCACUUUUCCCUUUUUUAAUGAUCAAAGUCAAUUUCUCGUCUUUCUUGAUUUAUAUUAACACAUUUAUCUUGUUUAACACACACAUUAUUCAAUUUAGUCCAAAAAUCAUACUUUGAAAAAAUUACAUUUUUACCCCUAAAGUUUCACAAAAUUACGAUUUUGCCUCUAGGCUCGUAAAAUAAUUUUUAUUCAAUUUUAUUGCAUUUUAGGCCUAGCAGAACCAUUUUCAUAACUAUAGCAGCCCACAAUUAUCACUUAUUCACACACUUGUGACAUAUUUUAUAACUUUUACAAAUUAAUCCUUUUAGGCAUUUUCAUCGAAAAUCACGUAGUAAAAGACGUUCAUCACACUCCAAACAUUCAUAUUCUUCCAUAAAACAUCAAAAUACAUGCAUAUCAUUCAUGGGUAAAUUUUUAAACACAAACCCUAGUUCAAAAUAAUGGUAAAAAUAGGUAAAUAUUGUUACGGGGAUUUCAAAAACGUAAAAAUCAUUAAAAACGGGGCUAUAACGGACUUACAAUCGAGCUUGGAAGCUUGAAAAACCCUAGCCAUGGUUUCUCAAUGCAAUUUUCGGCCUAGGGGUUGAAGAUGGACAAAAAUUGACUUUUAAUUUUGUUUUUAAUUCAUUUUAAUAACUAAAUGACCAAAAUGCCCUUAAUGAAAAACUUUGGAAACAUGCCUAACCAUAUCCAUUUUUGUCCACCAACUUAACCAAUGGUCUAAUCAGCGUAUAAGGACCUCCAAUUUAAAAUUUCAUAACAAUUGGACACCUCUAACAUGUAGAUCUCAACUUUUGCACUUUUUACAAUUUAGUCCUUUUGACUAAAUUGAGUGCCCAAACGUUGAAAUUUUUGAACGAAAUUUUCAAAAAAUCAUUUUAUGAAAUUUUAAACCAUAAAAAUAUAAUAAAAAUAAAUUUUAUCCACGUCAGAUUUGUGGUCCUGAAACCACUAUUUUGACUAGGCCCAAAAUCGGGUUGUUACACACACGACUUGAGACACGGGCGUGUCUCCAAACCGUGUGAGUCACACGGCCUAGCCACAUGGCCGUGUGGCCCCUGCAGUGUUGAAAAUUUUAAAUAUGUUCAAUUUUUUUUUGAGUUUUCGACUUAGUCCCUAUUUGUUUCUAAUGCGUAGUUUGGGCCUAGAGGGUUCAUUUAAGGGACAAUAUGUAUAAUUUUGAUUGGUUUCUAAUAUGAAUGCUAGAUGAAAUAAAACGUCUGGUAAUUAAUUUGUAAACACUGGUAAUGCUCUAUAACCCUGUUCCAACGACAAAUUCGGGUUAGGGGUGUUACACAAAAGCUCGCAUCACUCAUUGUCAACUCUCGCCUUUCCUCUCCCUUUUGACAGUCUUGCGUCAUUUUUAACUACGAGUAAUAAUUUGGAAAUAAUAUAAUAUCAAAUUCCAUCAAAAUCACAUUCAAUUACAAAGUCAUACAUAUUUGCAACUUAUUCAAUUUAGUCCCUAAAACCGAGACUAACAUAAUUUUCAAUAUAAAGCUUUAGAUUACAAUCCGAUUUCACAAUUACUCAUUAGGGAUCUCCUAUUUCUUAUUCCUACUAACAAUUUUAAAUUUUAUUCAAUUUAAUGCCUAAUAUACAAAACUAUCAAUUAAGUUUUACAAUUUAGUCCUUUUCUUAAACUAAGUUUAACUUCUACCAAUUUAACACAAAAUUCAUCCAUUUCUCAACAAUGGUAACUUUCUAAAACUUUAACAAUUUUACAAAUUGGUAUAUGGGCUAGCUAAAUCAAACUCCCAUAAUCUCAAAAAUAUAAAAAUUACAAGAAAAUGACUUAAUUCAACUUACCAAAUUGUUGGCCAAAGUUUACGAUUUUUGAAGCAUGCCUUUGAGUCUUUCUCUCAAAUAUUUCGGUGGUUUUUGGGAAGGAAGAUUACAACCUCCACUAGUGUUUUCUUUAUAUAUAAAAAAAAUUAAGCUUAC
rnacentral:lncRNA from 1 species